rnacentral:rRNA from 1 species
AUACGGAUGGUGCGAGCGUUGUUCGGAAUUACUGGGCGUAAAGGGCGCGUAGGCGGCGAUGUAAGUCAAAUGUGAAAGUCCUCGGCUUAACCGGGGAAGUGCGUCUGAAACUGCAUUGCUUGAGUAUGGGAGAGGAAAGUGGAAUUCCCGGUGUAGAGGUGAAAUUCGUAGAGAUCGGGAGGAAUACCGGUGGCGAAGGCGACUUUCUGGACCAAUACUGACGCUGAGGCGCGAAAGCGUGGGGAGCAAACAGGAUUAGAUACCCCAGUAGUCC